CAGAGAUCUGAGGUGGACAGAGGGAGUGACUUCUAAAACCCUCGAAAUUGCUUUGUUGGGUAAUGUGACUGAUGACACAUCUUGGGGGG